CCUACGGGUGGCAGCAGUGGGGAAUCUUCCGCAAUGGGCGAAAGCCUGACGGAGCAAAGCCGCGUGAUCGAAUGAAGGCCUUCGGGUUGUAAAGAUCUGUUGACAGGGACGAAUAAGCCAUGCGAAUAGUUUGGUGUAUGACGGUACCUGUUUAGAAAGCUCUGGCUAACUACGUGCCAGCAGCCGCAGUAAUACGUAGGGAGCAAGCGUUGUCCGGAAUUACUGGGCGUAAAGGGAGCGUAGGUGGGUGCUUAAGUCAGGUGUGAAAAUUCUGGGCUCAACCUGGAGACUGCACUUGAAACUGGGUAUCUUGAGGGCAGGAGAGGAAAGUGGAAUGCCUGGUGUAGCGGUGAAAUGCGUAGAUAUUAGGAGGAACACCAGUGGCGAAGGCGACUUUCUGGACUGUACCUGACGCUGAGGCGCGAAAGCGUGGGUAGCGAACGGGAUUAGAUACCCUGGUAGUC
rnacentral:rRNA from 1 species